UGACGCGUGAUCAAAACCGAAAGUUUCUGUGAUGACUGCCCUGCACUGUUCACCAUCAUGGUUAUACUGAACAUACAGAAGAAUUAUACUAAUCCAUUCUAUAGCUAAAAUUCAGAAACGAUGGAUGGCACAGGUGGCACAGAAACUCACCAGUGAAAUACUGGAGGCUCAUCAAGAAAUGGCUUCCUAAAGCAAUAGGACAAAGGUUUAAGUCCAUAAACUGACAGGUUCUCUCUCUAGCAGCAUCUUUUUGGAAUGAAAUGAUGUGUCAAAAAAGGUUUGUGUGAAGACCAAAUGAGGGGUUGUGAGUGUGCUUUGGCAGCAUGAUGGAGAAGGCUAAACAUGGAACUGAGCCCCAAAUCCACCUCCAGCUUCUCUACCAGCCACUUCUCUCUUGGCAUCUUAUACACAGAGUAAGCUCUGUCCGUCAACCACGGGGGCAGCGUGCUGAGUGUGGCCGACAGUAGCAGCAAGAGGCUGCUGCUGGGGAAGAUGAGGAAUGGAACACAACGAGCUAAGCAGGGGGUAACACAUCUUUGGACAUUUAUAGUCACCAGCCCCAAAUCCAGAGGGACUUCUUGGCCGGCUUCCCAGCAGCAGCAGAAACUGAAGUGCAAUGAAAGACUUAGGUCAGAAAGAACGUCAUCCAGCAGAUUGGGGCUCAGCAUCCUUUCUUCAAAGGGGUUAUGUUGACUGUUUUUAGCAAUUGGUUAUAACUCGGUUAAUUGAUAGAAUCAAGAGGGUGAUCACACUAGGAUCUGAAGGUGGUGCAAACUACCAAAUCGCAUCCCAGAUGUCACUGAGCAGCUAAAGGUGCACAGAGCCCAGAUCUACACUUACACAUCGCCCUCUCUCUUGGAGAUGCACCCGCGAAAUCGCAGCGUUUCAGCAUUUACGGGCCAUUUGCAGCACCAUGGCAACCCACACACUGCAGCAUCUGGACAUUCUACUCCCUGAGCCUGGGGCCUAAACAGAAAGAGGCGCUGCAGCAUUUAGAUGACAAGCUUGCUCACUGAAGGAAUGAAAAUUAAGAAUUUCAGACACAAAGGCCUGAUAAGUUAUUGACCUGAUGACAAUUUUUUUCUCAUUUAAUCUAGAGGACGAGACAAAAGGGAACUAGCUGUGCCUCUGUUCGCUCUGACCCACCGGAGGGAGGCACAGGCAGCAGGGAAGAAAUUGUGUUACCACUGCGGAAGGGCAGAACAUAGGAAGUCUGGGCCCAGACACUGAGCCAAGACUCUAAAGGAAGAGGGUUUCAAAAGGUGCGUGUGCCUCAAGGGUCCGGAAAAUUCCAGCCCAGUUAGUACAUCAUUCUCAGAAGCCCAACAGCAACAAGGCCACCUAAGGACUUGACAGUGAGGACAGCUGGCUGGAAGAAGGGAACCAAGGUCAGAGGGGUCACGAUGAGGCCCUGUGUGCCCGGACCUCAGCAGUCCUGGGGACACGGAGGGGCAGAGGGAAAGGUCAGCAGUCCAGCCUGAGCUCCCAGUGGGAAGAUGCCCCCCCACCCCCACUCAGCUCAUUCUCGGCCCUGGUGGCUCAUGCCCUCCCCACAAGCUGCUGCUGCAGCCUUUCCUCUGCCAUCACUUGGUGGCCUUGAGUUUGUGCUUCCCGUGUCCCUCCAGCUGUGGUCUUCGAGGCUUUCGCUCCUGCCGUUAUCACUGUUCUGGGGGCCAGAGAUUACAGAAGGGUUUUGUCUAGGCUGUUGGCUAUGACCCUUCAUAAAGCAGCAAGCAGAGGGGUCACUUGUGCAGAGAGACAAUAGUGACAGAGAUGCGUACAGAGAAGGAGACCCAGGCAGUAUUAUUACUCCCAGGAUUAUGCUUUCCAAUAUUUCUGUGAUCAUAAAGGUUGUCCCACUAAUGACUCCCUUCCCGUCCAAACACGGCUUGGGACCUCUCAAAACAGCCCUGCCACUCCCCUCUUGUCUGCGCAGGGCAAUGUCAUACCUCCUACCCUGAUCUGCGGGUUUCCUCCGGUUGGUUGACUUUGCCCCUGGAUGGUCUCUCUUGCUAGCCUUCCAGCUGAUGAUGCCCUGAACAGAUUCUUGAGCUUUCUGCUGUCACAUUUUCCCAGUAUUCUGUUGUUCAGAUUGCCUUCCAGAGCCCAGGUGGGCAGACCACCCAAUCUUGUCUUCUCAGGAAGCACCCCCUGCUUCUCUGAGAGGAGAAAAUCAAACAAAAGCAAUACUAUUUGUGGGUAAAAUUGCAGUAUUUCCAGAAUCUCUCACC